AUGGAGAAACACCCGUGGAUCUUUUAUAUUCAGGAGUAUAAAUUGGAGGUGGUAAAUGAGUUUGGUAGUUUUUUCUUUGAGGGAAUGAAGAGGUGGGCUUUUCUUUUAGGCUAUCUUUUGGAGCGUCAGGGUCCCAAAAAGGGUGUUAAAGCUCCAGUUGCAGCUUCCAAGAAGAAGCCAGAGAAGGUUACAAAUCCUCUUUCAGAAGGAGGAAAUAUCAAAAGUUGA